AGCUCCAAUAGCGUAUAUUAAAGUUGUUGCAGUUAAAAAGCUCGUAGUUGAAACUCCGGCCGUUUUGGCCUGUCUGGAAUCUCUGGGGAUGAGGUAAUACUCUUCUCUUUAGUGAACAGACUUUUACUGUGAACAAAUUAAAGUGCUUAAAGCAGGCUUGUGCCUAAAUAUUUUAGCAUGGAAUAAUAAAAUACGACUUUAUUCGUUUUAUUGGUUAUUGAAUAAAGUAAUGAUUAACAGAAACAGUUGGGGGCAUUCGUAUUUGUUUGGUUAGAGGUAAAAUUCUUAGAUCCAACAAAGACGAACUAAUGCGAAAGCAUUUGCCAAGGAUGUUUUCA
rnacentral:rRNA from 1 species